rnacentral:lncRNA from 1 species
AGUGUGGUCUCUGGGCUCGGGACCCUGACCUCUGGCCCUGGGGGCCGUGCACCGGCAGCGCAGGAUUCAGCCUUCUUCCAACUGGCCCUGAGACCACUUUUGCGACUGACCCCCGGAGGUGGCCCCAAAUCCAAGCAUCCUUAUAAGAGAGAGACAGAGGGAGAUUUGAGAGACAGAAGAGGAGGAGGUGAUCUGAUUACAGAGGCGGAGACGGGUAAUGCCCAUGCGCCCGAGUUCCCCCGGCAGCCACUGGAAGCUGGAGAGGUGAGGAGUCGCCCCAGGAGGCCCUGAGGGAGCUGGAUUUUGGACUGCGGCCUCCAGAACUCCAGAGAGAAUGAAUGUCUGCUGUUCUCAGCACCCCUCCGUGGUCCUCUGUCACGGCAGCCGCGGGACCCUCACGCGCUGUCUGGGCCGUCCCUUCCAGCGUGUCGGGCGUUGUGUCCAGCACUGGGGACCGCCCACAGGCGUGACUUGAGCCCUGUUUCCAGCCUCUGCGCGGGGUUGCCCAGACGCCCCUCCAGGGC